UGUGAGGGGCCAUAGAGGGCCAUGAAGGCUGCCACAGAUCCCAGUGAGAGAUGAUGGGGUGGGCAGUGUGCUGGGUGGAGUGUUGCAUGAUGCUAACGGGGUGACAGGUCCCAUCCCUAAAAUGAGCUUCCCUUUUCUCUUUUCUUACAUAAAUAUAUCAUCUAUACAAUGGUGGGCAACAGGCUUUGCAGUUAGGCAGCGUUUUAGCCCAAUGCUGGCACAGGUAGAGGAACCCAUGAUGCCUUUACCCAGGACACUGAAAUGUGGGGCAUCAGGAUUCAAAAGGAGAUGUGCUUCUAUAAAGGAUUCGUGAGAGAGAAGGGGCUUUUUGCUGUCAAAAACAACAUCACAGACACUGUAUGUCUGCAGCACUCAUCUCUUAUUCCCUUUGUAAUUACACAAUGUUAAAAGAUCCUUCAGCAGAAAAUCUAUCCCAGCAAUGACUUGGGGCUCUGCACAUGCAGCCUUAGAAGCCGCCUCGUGCGACUCCUGUUGAGGCAAAGAAGCAUCGUGCUGGUGCCUUUGAACCUGUGCACCACCACGUUGAGAGUGAAAGGGGAAUAAGCACACCAAGGGCCUCAAUAAACACGGAUUCUCUUGUUCAUUGUCACCGCUUAGAAAUAGCAAAAGCAGCCUUGAGUUGUGCGCAAGUCAAGUCCUUCGCCCCAGGUUCUAUAAUAAGGCCCUCUCAUGCUUUGCCUGCUUCCCACAUGAUGUGUCCUGAGUCAAACAGGGCUCGGGGUAGGAGGAGCCUUCAUCAGACAGCUGGGGAAGACUUCAGGAGUUUCAGUUCCUGAACAGGUUUUGUAACAACGGGGCCCUGGAGCAAUGGAAUAGGAGAUGCUUUGGCCAAGCUUAGUCAUGAGCUGCAGAGGCUUCAGAUGGAGCUGCUCCUCCUGGAGCGAGCUGCUCCUCGGGCAGCAGGGGCAGAGAAAGCAGAAGCUGCUCGUGGCAGUAGGAAAACACACGCUUCGAGAUGUCUUGCAUCCCACUCACAGCGUCCAAUGUCAUCCUUAAGCCACUUCCUCCCCCUCGUCAGCAGCAUCCUGUGUGAUUUCCUGCCUUGUUUUGUAAGAGCUGUACAAAUGAAAGGAUUCCUCCUUUGCAGAAAGCCAGGUGCUGUCUUUAGCUGCUUCUCUUUUAAAUCUAUUUACAAACCCCCUUUUUAAAGCAUUUUUCUGAAAGGUUUUCUUUUUUCUCCCUCCCUCCCCUUUCUUAUUUUCCCUGGAAUUCAAAGUAUUUCUACAGUCAAAAUCCUUUUCCUGGCUCAUUCUUUUGGUUUGGGUGCUUUGGGGUUUUUAAAUACAUUUACUGUUAACACAGAAACCCCCAA